GCGGGGGUGCCCGAGCGGUCAAAGGGGUCGGGCUUAAGACCCGAUGGGUUUAGGCCCGUCCGGGGUUCGAAUCCCCGCCCCCGCA
rnacentral:tRNA from 1 species